rnacentral:rRNA from 1 species
AUUGAACGCUGGCGGCAUGCCUUACACAUGCAAGUCGAACGGCAGCGGGGACUUCGGUCCGCCGGCGAGUGGCGAACGGGUGAGUAAUGUAUCGGAACGUACCAUUCAGUGGGGGAUAACUAUCCGAAAGGAUAGCUAAUACCGCAUAUUCUGUGAGCAGGAAAGCAGGGGAUCGCAAGACCUUGCGCUGAUUGAGCGGCCGAUAUCAGAUUAGCUAGUUGGUGAGGUAACGGCUCACCAAGGCUACGAUCUGUAGCGGGUCUGAGAGGAUGGUCCGCCACACUGGGACUGAGACACGGCCCAGACUCCUACGGGAGGCCGCAGUGGGGAAUUUUGGACAAUGGGCGCAAGCCUGAUCCAGCCAUGCCGCGUGAGUGAAGAAGGCCUUCGGGUUGUAAAGCUCUUUCGGCCGGGAAGAAAUCGCAUCAGCUAAUACCUGGUGUGGAUGACGGUACCGGAAUAAGAAGCACCGGCUAACUACGUGCCAGCCGCCGCAGUAAGAC